rnacentral:rRNA from 1 species
AUUGAACGCUGGCGGCAGGCCUAACACAUGCAAGUCGAGCGGAUGAAGGGAGCUUGCUCCUGGAUUCAGCGGCGGACGGGUGAGUAAUGCCUAGGAAUCUGCCUGGUAGUGGGGGAUAACGUCCGGAAACGGGCGCUAAUACCGCAUACGUCCUGAGGGAGAAAGUGGGGGAUCUUCGGACCUCACGCUAUCAGAUGAGCCUAGGUCGGAUUAGCUAGUUGGUGGGGUAAAGGCCUACCAAGGCGACGAUCCGUAACUGGUCUGAGAGGAUGAUCAGUCACACUAGAACUGAGACACCGUCCAGACUCCUACGGGAGGCAGCAGUGGGGAAGAUUAGACAAUGGGCGGAAGCCUGAUCCAGCCAUGCCGCGGGUGUGAAGAAGGUCUUCGGAUUGUAAAGAACUUUAAGUUGGGAGGAAGGGCAGUAAGUUAAUACCUUGCUGUUUUGACGUUACCAACAGAAUAAGCACCGGCUAACUUCGUG